UGGUUCUGGCAUNGAUGAAGAACGCAGCGAAAUGCGAUAAGUAGUGUGAAUUGCAGAUUUCAGUGAAUCAUCGAAUCUUUGAACGCACAUUGCGCCCUUUGGCAUUCCUUAGGGCAUGCCUGUUCGAGCGUCAUCUAAAACCUUCAAGCACGGCUUGAUGUUGGGCGUCUGUCCCGCCUCGGGCGCGGACUCGCCUCAAAAGCAUUGGCGGCCUGUGUGACGGCUUCGAGCGCAGCAGAUGCGCGCCUCGUCUCCCACGCACGGGCGUCCAGCAAGCCCCUAUCCACUAAGUUUGACCUCGGAUCAGGUAGGGAUACCCGCUGA
rnacentral:misc_RNA from 1 species